rfam:Gossypium raimondii Chr07_contig_1417, whole genome shotgun sequence.
CUGUAAAAUUUUCAUUCAUUUCUAUUAUUAAAAACUGGUGUGGCUAAUAAAAUAACCAGAUAGUUACACAGGUUGUGCCACAUGCAUCUUAUGCUUACUUAUAAAGACCAUUUUUUAUUAGUAAAAUUGGAUGAAAUUUUAGCAA